GUAUGAGGGGCAAAAACCUUACUGCUUACAGUAAGAGCUGUCUACUUAUUAUACAUAUUUAUUGGUUCAGGUUUUUUUCAGGAUUGGUGUAAUGGAUUUACAAUAGGUUUUUUUUCCAGUCAUUGAAUAAACAACAGUGUUUUGAUCUUACAGUAAAAAUCACCUUUAAAAAUGGUCUAAUACUCUUCUCUGUCAACUUAAGUAUACAACUGCAGAUUGCACGCAGGGCCAGAUUUGCAUUUCCUUAAUCACCUUAAUAUACUAAACUUAUCAAUGGCAAGUUAUUAAUACAUUAAAUAAAUAAAUAAAUAAUAUAAGAAGAAAAACAGUUAUCAUUUUUACUUUAUUUAGCAAUUUGUCUUGUUUUAAUCCGUGAAAGGUGAUAUUUUCAAUUAAUUAUUCAAUAACUUAUCAAGAAGAAUCAAAUGAUAAAACAGGAACAUUGCCAGAUUGUAAAGCUAUAGGUAGAAAAGUUUAUAAAGAACCGGCUGCUCAAUAUGCGCACAAACCCAUUUUUCAACACAAAAUCGAUAGAAAAUCCGGUGGCAGAGAGAAAAGACGAUCACAAUAUAUUUUCUCUCCCUUCUUAUUAAAGAAACCGCAAGAACAAAUCAGCCGCCCUACUUCGUUUCUUUGUACCUGCCGGGGAUUUAAAGCCUAUGCCGUAGCCUGAAGGCCUACUCAGUGUCGUCUCGUACGGAAAGUGAGUUAAUCGUGUUAUAAGGCUUUUAAAAUCUGUUGUGUGUUUUUUUUUAAAGUAUAAUAGUGAAAUAGACUAUAGUUUUUUUAGUUAGACUAUCCGAUUUUUAUUGUAAAAGAUGUCACGUAAAAAAGUAGGCAAACAAGGACAAAUAGAGAGAUUAUUUCUAACGUGGCAGCUUUUAUGAAAAAAGAAGCAUAGCAAGGAAUUACUAAUAUUCCUUUGAAAAAUUUUAGACAAUGUACAUUAGCUGCCACUCGAGUAUCCCAGUCAACUUACAGAAGAGUGGUCCAAGAGUCAGAAGAUAUAGAAAAUAUACCUUCCUGUUCCAGCAGGCAUA